GUUUGUUAGGGUUCUUGCGGGAAAAUGUAGGGCUCUUGGAUUAUGGAUCGAGGAUUGAGCGUUCUGCUCUUCGUCUCGGCAUUCACAGUAAUCGCGAUUGCCGGCGUCCACAAGAUGCAGCAGCAGGAGCGCGAAGAUUUGCGCGCUGGCGCUAUCAAGGAUCAGGAGAGAUACGCCGCACGGCAGCUUCAAAUGGAGCGGGAUAGGGUCCGGUAGUCGAUCGAUGGCGUGGAAGCCGUCAAUGCUACGCUUCCAGAUCACUAGCUCACUAGAAGCUUCAAGAACAUUGCCUAGGGUUUUUGGUCUUCUCGGAUGGAUUCUGGGAGGAAGGCCAGGAGAGCGCUGGAAGAGUAUGAGAUUGAUGCGCUGGUGGAUGAUUCUUACGACAGGCGCAAGAAACGGCACUGCGAUUCGGGCAGCGAGAUUGUGCGCUACUGCGGCCGGGAGAGCUGCGUGAGAAUCUUUGGCGUCGUCUUCCCCAGGCACAGCUACCCGAUCGACGCCUUCAGCUUUAAGCAGCUCGAUUCUUGCCGCUGGUGCCUGGACAUGGCAAUCUUCGUCGGAACAACGUACGAACAAGUCACGGAGAUGUGCAUCUUUCUCUUCAACCAAUUCGUUCUUCCACCGGAGAAAGCACUGGCCGUGUACGUGCAAUCCCCAGGCUCGGCAUUCCAGUACUGCGGUGGAAUAAGCAACGUUUGCCCCUCGGCGAUGAUCACUCUCCUCUGGCCCAAGCACGGCGGGAAGAAGCAAUUGACGGCCCCGGACGCUCCGCCGCUCAAUGCCUCCAUUGGUGUUUCGCUCGAGGAUUUGUCGACGCUUCCAGCUCUCAACAUUCGGCAGUACUACCACGUCGAGAAGGUUGCUCUCAAGAUCGGUGAGAACUUUUUCCAUUUCAUGCAAUCGUGUUCUAAGGCUGCCCAGGACGGGAGGAUUAUCGUGCCACUUAACUUGCUCGAUCAGUGGUUUGUUAGAUUCAAGGACAAGGCUAGCAAGGAUCCAGAUUAUCUUAAGCAGUUUCAGGUGUAACGACAAUGUUACUCGUCACCAUCACGCGAAGGUGAUGGUGCUGUUUACAAUGGAAUAUCAUACGCACAGCUUUGCUGAGGUAUAAACUUAACAAGCUUGUGCUAUUUAUUCUUCCAGGACAGAUUGUUAGCUUCAUACCAGGCACGAUGACACGCGAUGUUUAAGACUGGAAGAAGCUUACAAUCGUUGCGUGAGAAAACUUCUCGAGGCAGUGUGACAAUGUUCUUCUUUCUGGCGCUAGUUGGGCUUGUUUCGAGAUGCGGGGCUCAAGAUUGCGCGCCGAGUUUUCGGAGUUAUCAACUUCGAACCAAGGCUUCGUCAGCGUAUUGUUUGACGGCACUGAAUGAAACCGUGAGAAUGAACCUCUGCGACUCAAGUUGUCGCAACCAGGUAAGUAAGACGUUUCUUUCUCUGACUCGGUUUUUUCUUUUUUUCUUUUCUUUUCUCAUGCGGGGGACUUACACAGAUUUGGUUCUUGAACUCUACUUACAAUUUCGUAGACGCGGCAGGCAGCAAGGCCUUCGUCCUCACAAACGCCGGUUCCGGGCGAGUUCUUCGCCACAGAGCUAACGACGACGAACAAGUCGUUCUCAUUGUCUACUGUGAGCUCAGUAGCUCAAUCCUAUGGACGCUGAGCCCCGAGAGCUACGAUAAGUACUUCGCGAUUCGUCCAUUCGAGAACACUCAACUGAACUUGGACGUGGAUCACGGUGAUCGCAAACACGGCGGCGUCCAGCCAAACAACAGGCUUAUGCUUUUCUCGUGGCACACUGGCGAUAACCAGCUGUGGGAGUUCAUCGAGGCCUGAAAAACACAAAAGAGUUAUUCUAUCAUUUGGAGCAGCCCAAGGUUUUAUAAAAAGACUAAGCUACGCACC